CCACUUUCAUUUCCCUAGGCCGCCGUCUCCUAUUGUUAAAUGAGAGACUUGAAACCCCCUCAUCUGAAACUAAUUCAUUUUUCUAGUGGUCUGUUUACAUGUUGCUGACUUUUUCUUUAACUUUCAAUUCAUAGAUAAUUUCUUGCAAGUUCAGGUGGUGCAGAAGUUGGAGAAACAGAGGGAAUGAGACGCUCCAAAGGUGGUCCAAAUGCCACGAGUAAAUGAACAUUUAGACAUGGCGAAGCAACUGUAUUUGAAGAAAAGAAGAAAAGUGAAGGCAAUACUUGGCAUAAGGAGAGGAAGAAUGAGAAGGAUGUCCAAAGAAGGAGCCAGAAAGGAAAGAGGAGAAGAAAGGCAAGGUAGGAAAGAGAAAAUGUGGUAGGGAAAGAGAGAAGAGACAAAAACGAGAGAGAAGAAAAGCUGGGCAAGAAAGAAACGUGUAGGAAAAAUACACAGGGCAACUGAAAUCUUUUUAUAGGUGAUGAGAAAAGAUGAAGAAUUUUUCAGAUAUCCAAAACUGAAAUAGCACCUCUUCAUGCAAAGUAAAUCAUCAGAAAUUGUUUAUUUAUGGUUAUUUCUAUUAUUUGUGCUUAAUUCCUAUUAAGAUGAAUCCUGCUGUUUGAGUUUCUUUUGCUUUUAUGGAGCAGAUCAGUCAGCAGAUCGAUUUCCCAAAUACAGUCGAUGUACCACUGCCCUUACUAGACUCAUUUAGGCUCAUAGUCGUCUCUAGCCCACCGCUGCAUUGCUGAAGCUUCCAAGUGGUCCUCGGUCCUGGUGGAACAGCAAUCAAUUUCUCACUCCUGCCAAAAUGUUUACUAUGCUAUUUAAAUUCUUACUUUAAAUAAGACAAAUUAAUAAAUGUGUUGAGCGACCUGGUCA
rnacentral:lncRNA from 1 species